GUUCACAACAUAUUCCCCAAGUCAUUAUGUACUCAGCUCAGAUGUUCAUGGAGGAGGACGAAGAGUGAAACGGGCAAACUAGGGCUCGGCUCGUGAACAGCCCUAGUGUGUAUCGUUCACAACAUAUUCCCCAAGUCCCUAAUUUCUAAUUUCUAGGGCUCAGAUUCCCCAAAAUCUUCAACAACUUUCAGCUUCAACAAUCACUUAAUUUCCAAUCAAUGGCGACUCCUGAUGUUCUCCCACGCGAUCAUUUCUCAUCGUCAUCUCCAUUCAAUCCUACCAAAGGUGAUGCGCUCGAGAAGAAGGUUGAAUACCUCAAGAGCUUGAACGACAGAGUAACAAUGAUUUGUAGAUCUGUGUUUUGAUUUAGUUUUACCGAGUGAAAUUUUGUGAUGUUUCGUUGAUUGUUGAAGAUGAUAGUAUGUGUAUGCUGAUGAUAUGUGUUUGAACUGUUUGUGAUCCUGCUGAGUAACUAUUGAAUGUUUCGAUUUACGAUGUAAUCUGCGCGUGAGAUGGAAGUUAGAUGUUGUCUAUCUUGUUGUAGUUUAAUAAAUUGAUAGUUGAUGGAUACUUUCUACACAUGUGAUCUGUUCUUUAUUUCUUAUGCAUUUUCUUUGUUGUUUUAAUUUACAUAAAUUGAUGUUUUGACUGACAAAUCUCUAUAUACUGAUGACUUGAGUUUGAACUGUUGUGAUUUAUAAUUUAAUGGUGAAACUGUGAUCUUGCUGACUAGUUAUUGAAUUAUUGAUCUAGUGAGUUGUUUCUGUAUUUGCUAAAAAAUUGGUCUUCUUGACGUAUUAAUGAUGUAAACUACAUGAAAUCCUCUGAUUAUUAGGAAUGUGAUUACGAAUAUAAUUAGGAGGAUCUAGUAUUUUAUAUGCUUGUAUUGUAGAAUGUGAAUGUUCCAUUGUUUGAAAUUAAAUAGUUGUUUGGUAUGAGACCUAUCUUGGAUUUAAGAGGUUCAAGACUGUGACAAAGCAAUAACUCAUUUUUUUUCCAAUUCCAUAACAUAAUUUGCUAAGUGUUACCAUAUUAACUAACUAUCAGACAACAUAUGUGUACACCAGGUAUAUACACCAAUCUGCCUUUGAUAACAAUCUGGCUGAUAUAAAUCAGCACAGCAGGAAAGUAAAAGGAAGAAAUCGAGAGUUUUAUUAAUGAAGGAGUUUACCAAAUAGAGAAGUUGAAAGAAGAUGGAUGGAUAACAGAUAUCAAAUAUGAUGAUGAGGUUAAUCUAUGUUGAAAACAAGUGAAUAUCUCCUUAUAUAGGAAAUACUCGAGAAUUAGGAAAUGGAGUGUGGGAUUAUCAGGUGGCAAAGAUAGAAUUGCGGUUAUUAGAGCUUCUGAUUCAAAAAGGUAUAAGGCGGUUAUCAUCCGAAUUGAUAGCCUUGGGGGUGAUGGUCUUGCUUCUGACUUAAUGUGGAGGGAAAUCAAACUAUUGGCUGAAUCUAAGCCUGUAGUUGCAUCAUUGGUUGAUAUGGCGGGCAGUGGAGGAUACCAAAUGGCCAUGUCAGCAAAUGCUAUAGUCUCGGAGAAUCUUACUUUAACGGGUUCAAUUGGUGUAGUCUCAUUUAAGUUCAAUAUGGAGAAACUAUAUGAAAAGAUUGGUUGCAACGAAGAAGUUGUAUCAAAGGGACGAUAUGCUGAGCUGUAUACAGAUGCUCGCUCAUUCAGACCUGAUGAACAGAAACUGUUUGUAGAACAAGCCCAAUAUAUGUAUUAACAGUUUCGUGAUGACGCAGCAUGUUCAAGAUCAAUAAGAUGGAGGAGGAAAUUCGGAUUCUGUAACCGGACGUAAAAAAAUAAAAUAUUUUGGAUACAAGUUGAUUCGUUUCAUUAUUGGUACUCAAUACUAUUUACGAUACAUUUUUUUAUUUACGAUGGUUUUAUUUCAUGGAAGUCGUCUAAUGUAACUUAAAAAAUAAAGUCGUAUAUUAAAUUGAUCAAAAAUGUAGGUCCCUCGGAGGAUGAGGUCAAA